rnacentral:rRNA from 1 species
UACAGAGGUCUCAAGCGUUGUUCGGAUUCAUUGGGCGUAAAGGGAGCGUAGGUGGCGGGGUUAGUCAGGUGUGAAAUCUCGGGGCUCAACCCCGAAACUGCACUUGAUACUGCCUUGCUAGAGUACUGGAGAGGAGAUUGGAAUUUACGGUGUAGCAGUGAAAUGCGUAGAUAUCGUAAGGAAGACCAGUGGCGAAGGCGAAUCUCUGGACAGUUACUGACACUGAGGCUCGAAGGCCAGGGGAGGCAAACGGG